rnacentral:rRNA from 1 species
AAGGAAUAUUGGUCAAUGGGCGGAAGCCUGAACCAGCCAUGCCGCGUGCAGGAAGACGGCCCUACGGGUUGUAAACUGCUUUUGCAGGGGAAUAAACCCCCGUAUGUAUACGGGGUUGAAUGUACUCUGAGAAUAAGGAUCGGCUAACUCCGUGCCAGCAGCCGCGGUAAUACGGAGGAUCCGAGCGUUAUCCGGAUUUAUUGGGUUUAAAGGGUGCGUAGGCGGCCUGGUAAGUCAGGGGUGAAAGACGGUAGCUUAACUAUCGCAGUGCCUUUGAUACUGCCGGGCUUGAAUGUACUUGAGGUAGGCGGAAUGUGACAAGUAGCGGUGAAAUGCAUAGAUAUGUCACAGAACACCAAUUGCGAAGGCAGCUUACUAAAGUAUGAUUGACGCUGAGGCACGAAAGCGUGGGGAUCAAA